rnacentral:rRNA from 1 species
UACAGAGGUCUCAAGCGUUUGUUCGGAUUCAUUGGGGCGUAAAGGGUGCGUAGGCGGCGCGGUAAGUCGGGUGUGAAAUCUUGGAGCUUAACUCCGAAACUGCAUUCGAUACUGCCGUGCUUGAGGACUGGAGAGGAGACUGGAAUUUACGGUGUAGCGGUGAAAUGCGUAGAUAUCGUAAGGAAGACCAGUGGCGAAGGCGGGUCUCUGGACAGUUCCGUGACAC